AUACUUACCUGGAAGGGGAGAUACCAUGAUCACAAAGGUGAUUUUCUCAGAGCGAGGCCCUGUGGAUGUGCUCACCCCUAUGAUUUCCCCAAAUGUGGGAAACUCCACUGCAUAAUUGUGGUAGUGGGGGACUGCAUUCCAUCUUUUCCUUGCUUAAAAAAAAUGCAGUUCCAUA
ensembl:snRNA U1 U1 spliceosomal RNA